rnacentral:rRNA from 1 species
GGAAUAUUGGGCAAUGGGCGCAAGCCUGACCCAGCAACGCCGCGUGAAGGAAGAAGGCUUUCGGGUUGUAAACUUCUUUUAAGAGGGAAGAGCAGAAGACGGUACCUCUUGAAUAAGCCACGGCUAACUACGUGCCAGCAGCCGCGGUAAUACGUAGGUGGCAAGCGUUAUCCGGAUUUACUGGGUGUAAAGGGCGUGUAGGCGGGGACGCAAGUCAGAUGUGAAAACCACGGGCUCAACCUGUGGCCUGCAUUUGAAACUGUGUUUCUUGAGUACUGGAGAGGCAGACGGAAUUCCUAGUGUAGCGGUGAAAUGCGUAGAUAUUAGGAGGAACACCAGUGGCGAAGGCGGUCUGCUGGACAGCAACUGACGCUGAGGCGCGAAAGCGUGGGGAGCAAACA